UACUUCUAUAUAGUUUGUAAUUUGUACUUUAUUCGACUGCAUUUAAUUGCGCAAAAAAUAUAUACGCGAUGUCCAAAUGCGUUGUAAAAAGUCUAACCAAAAAUAAUUUAACUUGCACAAUCAUGUGUUUCUAUAUUAUAAUAAAUCUAAUAUUGAUACAAACAAAUUAGACCUUAAAAUAUAUAAUAUGUGAAUAAAUAAAUCACAGUUGAGUCAACUUCUGCAUAAAUGACUGCAUAAAUGACUCCCUUUCCUCCCGUAAGUGUAGUACUAAAGUCAUGAGAUGUUAAAUUAACUUGAUCUUUUAUCUCAAUUUUCAAAUUCUUAUGUUCACACAAAGGAUUAACAACAACAGACUUGGAGACAUUAUGUGGAUACAAGUAUUGGUGCAGGAAGCGUAUUGGCUUUCUCAACGAGGAAAGGAAUGUUUUUUCUCCGUCUAUUGGACUGGAAUCAAGCUAUUAGACAGUAUUGAAAAGCUUUUCCACUGGUAGAAAAAUGCCAUCAAACCUCUGGAUUUAUUUAUUAUUCAAUAUACGACUGAUGCAGGUAUCCUGUACAACAUAUCUGAAGCAUGAAAAUAUCAGCCUCGAACUGGACAGAUUGCUUCUUGGUUAUGACAGGAGGCUGAGACCAGG